GACGAACGCUGGCGGCGUGCCUAACACAUGCAAGUGGAGCGACGAACCAGGCUUCGGCCUGGGGCAAAGCCGCGAACGGGUGAGUAACACGUGGGUAACCUGCCCUGAUGAUUGGGACAACCCGAGGAAACUCGGGCUAAUACCAAAUGUGCCCUUCGGCCAUAAGGCCGCCGGGAAAGGAAGCUUCGGCCUCCGCAUCUGGAUGGGCCCGCGGCCCAUUAGCUUGUUGGUGAGGUAACGGCUCACCAAGGCGACGAUGGGUAGCUGGUCUGAGAGGACGAUCAGCCACACUGGGACUGAGACACGGCCCAGACUCCUACGGGAGGCAGCAGUGGGGAAUCUUGCGCAAUGCGCGAAAGCGUGACGCAGCAACGCCGCGUGGGGAAGAAGGCCUCGGUGUAA
rnacentral:rRNA from 1 species